GCCAAGAUGGUGAAACUGGUAGACACGCCGGACUUAAAAUCCUGUGACCAGCAAUGGUCGUGCGGGUUCGAUUCCCGCUCUUGGUA
rnacentral:tRNA from 1 species